rnacentral:rRNA from 1 species
GAUGCCAGCUAGCGAUCCGCCAAAGUUCCUCCGAUGACUUGGUGGGCAGCUUCCGGGAAACCAAAGCAUUUGGGUUCCGGGGGAAGUAUGGUUGCAAAGCUGAAACUUAAAGGAAUUGACGGAAGGGCACCACCAGGAGUGGAGCCUGCGGUUAAAUUUGACUCAACACGGGAAACCUCACCAGGCCCGGACACCGGAAGGAUUGACAGAUUGAGAGCUCUUUCUUGAUUCGGUGGGUGGUGGUGCAUGGCCGUUCUUAGUUGGUGGAGCGAUUUGUCUGGUUAAUUCCGAUAACGAACGAGACUCUAGCCUACUAAAUAGACGUACUUUAUUACCGGCAUCUCAAGGCCCAUCGGCUGUAUUGUUACUGAAUGUUAUUUGUAUAUUUUGUUGAUAUAUAUUUAUUAUAUGUAUGAUUGAUAAUAU